rnacentral:lncRNA from 1 species
UCGAGAGAUACAACAAGCCUUAGCAAAAAUUGGCAUAAAAAACAAAAAGGGAAGAAAGAAAAACUGACCAAAAUCGAAGCAGACAGAGUGAAAAGAAAACCCCAAACCGAUUGCCUAAUGUCUAAAAAAUAAAUUUGGCACAACACUCCCCCUUCUCAAAAUCCUUGAUUUUCUCCUAAAAACUCUCCCCUUAUCAUUCCUUGAAUUUCUCCACCCGAUCACAAUCCCAC